CAGGGAGAGACUUGGGGGAGAUGGGGCUGGUACAGAGGGCCCAGCUCUCGGCGGAUGUUGACUUUCAGCCCAGGACAGGAGCUACGUCUGAAGAGUGAUUCUGAAUACAGAAGGAGUUCGAGCCUGGUUUGGUGACUCCAGGAAAUCCACAAAGCCAGGAAUGAUGAUGACAGCCUUGAUGACAGCCUUGAUGACAGCCUUGAUGACAGCCAUAUCCUCCCUGUCCUCCACUGUGAUUGGCUCAAUGAUAACUUCUAAUUAAAUGAAUGAAUGGUGCGCCGAUGAAUGAACACACUGGAACAACUUGGAUAUGAUACCAUGCAUACUUUUUGCUGUAA
rnacentral:lncRNA from 10 species